rnacentral:rRNA from 1 species
CUCGUAGGCGGUUCGUCGCGUCCGGUGUGAAAGUCCAUCGCUUAACGGUGGAUCCGCGCCGGGUACGGGCGGGCUUGAGUGCGGUAGGGGAGACUGGAAUUCCCGGUGUAACGGUGGAAUGUGUAGAUAUCGGGAAGAACACCAAUGGCGAAGGCAGGUCUCUGGGCCGUCACUGACGCUGAGGAGUGAAAGCGUGGGGAGCGAACA